AUUGAAUGCUGGCGGCAGGCCUAACACAUGCAAGUCGAGCGGAGCGGCGGCGGGGUGAGUGAUGCCUAGGAAUCUGCCUGGUCGUGGGGGAUAACGUCCGGAAAUGGGCGCUAUUACCGCAUCCUCUCAGAUGAGCCUAGGGCGGAUUGGCUAGUUGGGGGGGGAAAGGCCUACCAGGGCGACGAUCCGUAACUGGUCUGAGAGGAUGAUCAGUCACACUGGAACUGAGACACGGUCCAGACUCCUACGGGAGGCAGCAGUGGGGAAUAUUGGACAAUGGGCGAAAGCCUGAUCCAGCCAUGCCGCGUGUGUGAAGAAGGUCUUCGGAUUGUAAAGCACUUUAAGUUGGGAGGCGUUACCAACAGAAUAAGCACCGGCUAACUUCGUGCCAGCAGCCGCGGUAAUUC
rnacentral:rRNA from 1 species